rnacentral:rRNA from 1 species
GAUGAACGCUGGCGGCGUGCCUAAUACAUGCAAGUCGAGCGAACAGACGAGGAGCUUGCUCCUCUGACGUUAGCGGCGGACGGGUGAGUAACAUGUGGAUAACCUACCUAUAAGAAUGGGAUAACUAUGGGAAACCGGAUCUAAUACCGGACAAUAUAUUGAACCGCAUGGGUCAAUAGUGAAAGACGGUUUUGCUGUCACUUAUAGACGGCUCCGCGCCCCAUCAGUUAGUAGGUAAGGUAAAGGAUUAGCAAGGCAACGAUGCGAAACCGACCUGAGGGGGUCGUCCCACACACUGUCUGUGAGACCCGUUCCCGACACUUACGCUAGGCCGCAGCCCGGACUCUUCCGCAAUGCACCAGUGCCUGACGGUGCAAAGCCGCCUGAAGGAUGAAGCUCUUCGGCCCGUAGAGCUCUGUUGUUAGUAGAGAACUAAAGCUUAAUUAACUAUGCUCAUAUUGACAGUACCUGGUCAGAAAGCCCCGGCUAACUCCGUG